rnacentral:lncRNA from 1 species
AGAUUAUGACAUAUGGAGUUUGAAAUAUGAUGGAUAAUCUGUAGAUCAUGAUAUGAUUAGUUAGAUCUUGAUCGAAAGUAAUCACAAAAAGAUUGACAUAAAAUUUUAUUGUACAUUGUGGUUAUUAAUUUGAUCAUUGGUUAUUCAAGUGAAUUGUAAGUUCAAAUUCGAUGUGAGAAUAAUACUAUGAUAUUACUUCUAUUUGAGAAGUUGACUAUUAUUGGCA